UACGUAGGGUGCAAGCGUUAAUCGGAGUUACUGGGCGUAAAGCGUGCGCAGGCGGUUUUGUAAGUCUGACGUGAAAUCCCCGGGCUCAACCUGGGAAUUGCGUUGGAGACUGCAAGGCUAGAAUCUGGCAGAGGGGGGUAGAAUUCCACGUGUAGCAGUGAAAUGCGUAGAGAUGUGGAGGAACACCGAUGGCGAAGGCAGCCCCCUGGGUCAAGAUUGACGCUCAUGCACGAAAGCGUGGGGAGCGAACAGG
rnacentral:rRNA from 1 species